rnacentral:piRNA from 1 species
UGUGACUCAGACUACAGGCUCUGCUAUUCAU